AGCCUCGCAGUGUUUGACAUACAGGAUUGCAAAUCCUGAGAAGCAGGUUAAUAGCCUGCCGGGGCUU
rnacentral:tRNA from 1 species